UAGUUUUCAUCUUGUUUUGAAAAUUUUCGAGUUUUGAGCAAGUUUUGGAGCUUUGAGGUUCAAAAACUCAAAUCUCUUCCAACUCCAAGUUAGAUCGCCUCCACCCUCGAUCUUCAAGAGGUAAGAGUCGAUCUCUAGCUUACAUUAUGUUUUAAGCAAGUUUUAUGCAAGUUCAUGGGGUAGAAAAUGCAUGUGUAGCUUAUGUUGAGCUUAUGGGUUUUUGAUGUGAUUUUGAACAAUGUGAGUUGCUUGUGUGUUGUAGUUGGGGUUUUGAUGGUUUGAUGCCCCUAGGAACUUGUAUGCUUGUGUAUGAGUGUUGUAGAAUAGGUUUAUGCAUGUUUGGAUGAGAUAGGAGGCAUAAAUGCAUAGGGGAGCUGAGUUUC
rnacentral:lncRNA from 1 species